AAUAAACGAGAGAGUGUUGGUGAGCAAUGAUUAGAGAGGUGCACAGCCUCAGGACUCCACAUUGAGCAGAUAAGGAAACCAAAGCUCCCAAAGUGAAGUGGUUUACCUAAGGACAGAAUAAAUAGACUCCAGCCACCCCGGAGCUUAGACUCGGUCCUGAGAGCAGUGGGAAGCUUCUGAUGAGUUCUGUAAGCCAUGCUUCUGUCUUCUCUGCCUAUAAUGCGGGACCAAAGGUGGAAGAUGUUACAGCCUGUGCACCCCA